GAUGAAGAACGCAGCGAAAUGCGAUACGUAAUGUGAAUUCUAGAAUUCAGUGAAUCAUCGAGUCUUUGAACGCACAUUGCGCCCCCUGGUAUUCCGGGGGGCAUGCCUGUCCGAGCGUCAUUGCUGCCCUCAAGCACGGCUUGUGUGUUGGGCCUCCGUCCUCCUCCCGGGGGACGGGCCCGAAAGGCAGCGGCGGCACCGCGUCCGGUCCUCGAGCGUAUGGGGCUUCGUCACCCGCUCUUGUAGGCCCGGCCGGCGCUUGCCGACACAUCAAUCUUUUUUCCAGGUUGACCUCGGAUCAGGUAGGGAUACCCGCUGAACUUAAGCAUAUCAAUAAGCGGAGGA
rnacentral:misc_RNA from 1 species